GAUUAUGAAGCAGAGAAUGAGAGGUAUGUGAUCUGGGCUUUGACUGCUGGAAUCUUGAUUAGGACCGCAUCAAUUGUUUACCAGCGCCCACCAGCCUUUCUGGAGCGGAAGCCCAAAUUCUGGAGCAGGAUUGUUAACUAGGAUAUGGCACCAUAAAUCCAGAGAAUUCCUUGAGGGAACUCUCUCGUGAGGUUGUUCUUCUCUUUAUAGUCAUUAUUAGAAUCCAUGAAACUCACCAUUCGGACUAUCAACUUCAAUAUCAUUGAAAUGUAAUUCAGAUUCUGAAUUCGCAUAUAAUAUCACGCUUUUCGCCAAGUUCAAUGUUCU
rnacentral:lncRNA from 1 species